rnacentral:rRNA from 1 species
GAUUAAUGCUGACGGUGUGCAUAAUACAUGCAAGUCGAACGUGCGAUGCGAAAGUAGCAAUACUUUUACAAAGUAAGUGGCGAACGGGUGAGUAACAAGUGGACAAUCUGCCCUUAAGAUCGGGAUAAUUAUUCGAAAGGAUAGCUAAUACCGAAUGUUUUAUAUCUUUCGAUGAUUGAUAUAACAAAGGAAGCCGCAAGGCCUCCGCUUUUGGAUGAGUCCGCUGCCUAUUAGCUAGUUGGUAGGGUAAUGGCCUACCAAGGCUAUGAUGGGUAGCCGGCCCGAGAGGGUGUCCGGCCACACUGGGACUGAGAUACGGCCCAGACUCCUACGGGUGGCUG